CCUACGGGAGGCAGCAGUGGGGAAUAUUGGGCAAUGGAGGAAACUCUGACCCAGCAACGCCGCGUGAAUGAUGACGGUCUUAGGAUUGUAAAGUUCUUUUCUACGGGGAGCAGAGAGUGACGGUACCUUCGGAAUAAGCCUCGGCCAACUACGGGCCAGCAGACGCGGUAAUACGGGGGAGGCAAGUGGUAACCGGAAUGACUGGGCGUAAAGGGUGCGUAGGUGGGUUGAUAAGUUGGUAGCGUAAUUCCAGGGCUCCACCUCGGCUCGACUACCAAAACUGUCGGACUUGAGUGCAGGAGGGGCAGGCGGAAUGCGUGGUGUAGCGGUGGAAUGCGUAGAUAUUAGGAGGAAC
rnacentral:rRNA from 1 species